CAGUUAAUUUCAAUAUGAUAAACUCUCAUUGCGUAAAGUAUUCAUAAAUAUCCACCCUUGUGAAAUAAUUUCCAAAACUCAUUCUCCAAAAUUUACCUAAAGAAUCUCAAACAAAAGUUUUGAAGAAAACAAAUUAGGAAGCUCAGGGUGUAUAAGGAAUACGGCUUCUUAGGCAGCUCUUAGUGCAAAAAAAAUCUCUCAUGAAGAUCUGAGUUUGUGUUCCUGUUCUCCUGUCUCUGGGACCUUGGGCAAGUCACCGGGCUUAAGUUUCUGUGAAAUGGGCUAGAUAUCCCUCAAAGGAUUAUUAUAUGAGAAUUGAAAUGUCAAAGUCUUGUAAAAUUUAGCACUGCCACGAUUAAGUUUUAAAAAUUCUCAACUCAACAUUACUCCACCAGACACCCUAACUAAACUUCGUACAACAGAAAAUAGGCUAGUGACGACAAAACAAAAAUUACUUUAAAAUCACUGACAAAGUUAGUGAGUGUCCUGGAGAAACGUGUGCUCAAGUUUAAUGACGGUUACGUGGGCAAAAUUCUCUGACAACCUUUUGUUGAUCCAAUUUUCUCCUACAGCCACCGUUACAAGUCAGAUCUUUUGUAGGUUACAAAGCUCAAGACAGGACACUCCCCCCCCCCCCCCCAAGGAUUCUGAUAAGCAAAACUCCGGGACCCAUUCCUUGCGUUACUUUUGGUUUUGAGCUGCCAAGAGUGGUGCCUGGCAGAUGUGGCUCCUAAAGCCCCGUUAAGGGUCCGAAAAGCAUGAGUGUGGGGACGCUGGGGGAACCGGUAUACUGUUCCAGAUUUUCAAAAAGGGAAAAGGGGUGUAUGCAAAGGGAGAAACUGGGUUGUCUGCCGCUGGGGGCGCCGCCGCCUCCCACACACCCCCGGAUCAUCGUCGCUCCCACCUCCCGGGGGCUCGCCUUCAGGCUGUUACCAGAAACUCGCUGACUCUUCACCCAAGGCCCGACUCGCAGGGGGUUGGGGGGGUUGGAGGGGCGUGGACCCUAUUUAACGCCGUCUGCAAAGCUGCCUUCCGCUGCGCGCUCCGCGGCCGGCCUGGGAUUCGCCGGGCUCUACCACCGCCCGCUGCUCCGCGGCCUCCUCCGCCCGCGCCCGGUUCUCUACUGCCGACUCCGGCCGCAACCACCCUUUCCCGCCCCUCUCGGACAACAGAGACGACCUGCUACCCUCCUGCCGCUCACGUCGGCCGGGGUCUAAUGCUGCAGCCUCCGGAAAUCAUACACCAUUACGACUCGUACCUCCCAGGAGCCUCUGCGCCCAAAGCCAGGGCCCAAGACCCGGAAGCAAACCCUAAGCUCUUUAGUCGCAGUUUAGAGGCGGAGGCGGAGACCAAUCCGCAGCAGACUCCUUCAUUCCGGUGCUGCGUGGACGGAAAGCCCCGGGUAGCCGACACCACGUCCCCGGCUAGCGAGAGAGAGCGUAGAGAAGGAUUACACCAAACUGUUUAA
rnacentral:lncRNA from 1 species